rnacentral:rRNA from 1 species
CCAAUAGCGUAUAUUAAAGUUGUUGCAGUUAAAAAGCUCGUAGUUGAAUUUCGGGAUUGACACAUCGGUCGUGCCUUAAGGGGUAUGAACUGGUGUAGUCAAUUUCUCACCUUCUGGAGAACCGCGAUGCCCUUAAUUGGGUGUCACGGGGAACCAGGACUUUUACUUUGAAAAAAUUAGAGUGUUUAAAGCAGGCAUUUUGCUUGAAUACAUUAGCAUGGAAUAAUAAAAUAGGUGGGCAUGAUUCUAUUUUGUUGGUUUCUAGGAUCACCGUAAUGAUUAAUAGGGAUAGUUGGGGGCAUUAGUAUUCAAUUGUCAGAGGUGAAAUUCUUGGAUUUAUUGAAGACUAACUACUGCGAAAGCAUUUGCCAAGGAUGUUUUCAUUAAUCAAGAACGAAAGUUAGGGGAUCGAAGACGAUCAGAUACCGUCGUAGUCUUAACCAUAAACUAUGCCGACUAGGAAUCAGACGAUGUUAAUUUUUUAAUGACUCGUUUGGCACCUUACG